GUUUAAGGUUGAGAUAUCGAGAGAGAGAGAAAGCCAACAGCUGGGCGGCCGCCAUGUUGGGGCGGGAGUGGAUGUUCAAGUGGGUGCGGGAUUGGGGUUGGAGUGAACUGAAUAAUAUAUAUAGCAGGCGGACAUUUUGAAUGGUGCCUGUGCAUGAGAAACACUCACACCCACACAUUGGGGCGUGUUCCACAUCUUGAUCGAGAUGGAAAUAAUCCCAAAGAAUUAUAAAAGCGAAACAGAGAUAGAGAUAUGCCUAAAGAACUUUGCCAAAACGGGAACUACGUAAUAUUGCCUGGCCUGGCCUGGCCUGGCCUGCCCUCCCCCUCCACCAUGCCCCUCUCGUCUUACUCUGAUCAAAAGCUCUCUCCGUCUCUCUUUCUCUGUGUAGACGAAUCUCUCGGCCCCCCCACCUUUGAGACCAGUUGGACCAUGCGAUGACUACAUGAUGUUUAUUUUUGUAAAUGCUGUACAAAACAACACAACACAACAAAAAAAAAGAAGAAAAAAUAUUAACGCAAAUAAAUCUAAACAAAGAGCUGUGCUUUGUU